AUGCAUUUUAACCAAGAGUAAGGGCAGUAGGGAGCAAAAAACUCAGCUUCACAGAUCUUGCUACUUCUAUGAAAACAUAUUUUGACUCUGUUCGUUAAAUGCCUCAGCCAUUGUGUAGUGAUUUCUCCAACACAUGAAUAGAUAUGGUUGAAAAUUAUCAGAGCAACCUUUUUACAGACUGAUAAACCCAUGAGAAACAUAGUAGCCCAGUCAGUUAAUGUGUACUGUAGAUCUGGGUGCUAUGGCAACAGUCACAUGCUUCUCACACAUGAUUCUAGCAGGCUCCUUGUUUUCAGCUCCUUUCCUUCCUAACCCUGUACAGAACAUGAGCCAGAAACAAGGUAGCCCAGAAACAAAAAGAAAUGUUAGUUUUUUGACAAUGUAUGUUUCCCAGUCCUCUAAGAAGUGUUUCUAAUCUGGGGACUGGCUUUAGUGUCUUGGUUUCUCUGAAAUUGAAAGUAAAUUCUUCCCAAGUCCUGAGGACCCAUUUGUUUCAAGCUUUUAGGCCUUAAGUGUCACUGACUACUGUGGGCUUAAUUCUAAAGUAUGCUUUUCUUUUCCCCCAAGUCUGAUACUCCGACCUUUUGUAUAAUCUAUGGAUCUGACAACGCAAAUACAGCUCUAUCAUGGGUUCUCAGUUCAGAGGUCUUUAAUCUUUUAGAACUCACUGUACAACUAUUAGAAUAGAAACCCCCAUAAGUUCCAUCCUGGCUCCCCUGUGUCUGAGAACCCUGUCAACCUCAGCAAAGGAGCCAAAAUGCACUUCACUGGGAGAAAGGAAAGAGACAGAGAAAAAAUGACUUUUUGAAGGUGACUGAAUUUUGUACGAAUUUAAAACCCAUUUCCUCCCUGCCUUUUGUGAAUAAGAAGAUAUUUGCAAAUUUCUGCAAUUCUGUGUUCCAUUUUUUGACAUGUUGACAUGGGAUGCAGUUCACCAGGAACAAACCAUGGCUGAGGACAGUUAAGAAGAGAGGAAGUCGCUUCCUGGUUGCUGCCGCUGCAGAGAGCCCGUGGGCAGCACCCCACGAGCGAACCUGAGCCUCGGGACCACAGGUAAGACCAAAUUUUCUGCUGCAAGAAAGCUGCCUGGUGAGCUUGGGACACACGGAAGCAGAAUUUCUCUAGGACCGGGCACGUUCUGUGUUUACCGGAAGUCCCACACCCACGGAUCCCGGCCCGCAGCAGCUCUCUGCUCCCAGACCCGGUGAGAGAGAGACCCAACCGCCUGGUCAGGUGGGCACUCCUGAGGCUGCAGAGCGGAAGAGACCACCAACUCUGCUCACCCCUGCCCACAUCCCUGGCCCAAGAGGAAACUGUAUAGGGCCUCUGGGCUCCCGUGGGGGAGGGCCCAGGAGCGGCAGGACCCCUGCCAGAGACACCACCGGAACCUGAAGGAAACAGACCAGAUAAACAGUUCUCUGCACCCAAAUCCCGUGGGAGGGAGAGCUAAACCCUCAGGGAGGCAGACACGCCUGGGAAACCAGAAGAGACUGCACUCUGCAUACACAUCUCGGACACCAGAGGAAAACACCAAAGGCCAUCUGGAACCCUGGUGCACUGAAGCUCCUGGAAGGGGCGGCGCAUAUCUUCCUGGUUGCUGCCGCUGCAGAGAGCCCGUGGGCAGCACCACACGAGCGAACUUGAGCCUCAGGACCACAGGUAAGACCAACCUUUCUGCUGCAAGAAAGCUGCCUGGUGACUCAAGACACAGGCCCACAGGAACAGCUGAAGACCUGUAGAGAGGAAAAACUACACGCCCGAAAGCAGAACACUCUGUCCCCAUAACUGACUGAAAGAGAGGAAAACAGGUCUACAGCACUCCUGACACACAGGCUUAUAGGACAGUCUAGCCACUGUCAGAAAUAGCAGAACAAAGUAACACUAGAGAUAAUCUGAUGGCGAGAGGCAAGCGCAGGAACCCAAGCAACAGAAACCAAGACUAAAUGGCAUCAGCGGAGACCAAUUCUCCCACCAAAACAAACAUGGAAUACCCAAACACACCAGAAAAGCAAGAUCUAGUUUCAAAAUCAUAUUUGAUCAUGAUGCUGGAGGACUUCAAGAAAGACAUGAAGAACUCCCUUAGGGAAACACAGGAAAACAUUAAUAAACAAGUAGAAGCCUACAGAGAGGAAUCGCAAAAAUCCCUGAAAGAAUCGCAAAAA